CGUGAUGUGAACAUUUGUCAGCCUUACCUCUGUUGGAGUCUUGGUAAACCACAGACUUACCCAACUCCACACCCAAACGUUCUGUAAUCUUUUUGGCCAGUUCUGUGCAGGCGGCGGUGGAGUUGGCAGAAAAAACACGAUAUCCAGGUCUUGAAACAUUCAUUUUGCCGUAACCGUACGACAGCUUUGGAAUUUGAGAGACGAGAGACCUGUGAGCUCCAAAGCGCCGAAUGGGCAUGUUGUAGUGGAAACAAAAAUAUUUGCCGCAAAAUUUCAAAGACUUCUGUGCACAAGAUGCACAUACAUCUUUAAAAA